GCGAAGGGGUGACCCACGCUGGAGCGUUGCGAAGUAAGAAUGUUGGCACAAGUAACCACAAUGCGGGUGAGAAACCCGCACGCCGAAAGAACAAGGUUUCCCUCUCAACGUUUGUCGGAGAGGGGUUAGUCGGUCCUAAGGAAAUGGUGAGAACCGCAUCCGAUGGACACAGGGUUAAUAUUCCCUGACUAUCUGUGUAAGUGAUGAGAGGACGGAGAUGAGUAUGUAUCGCGCAUUAUCGGAUUUGACGUCCGUGCUUUAAGGAAGUGUACGAGGAAAAACCCGGACACUAGCUUUAAUGCUGAUUCCAAGAAGAGCGGAAAUGCUCAGCCUCGGCCGGGCAAAUGAUACAAAGCCAUCUUCCAAGAAAAUUCUCUAAACUUAUUACGCAGAUAUCCGUACCGCAAACCGACACAGGUGUUCAGCUCGAGUAGAGCAAGGCGAACGAGUGAGACGUCCCCAAGGAACUCGGCAAAAAAGCAGCCGUAACUUCGGAAUAAGGCUUGCCCCGACUAUGUCGGGGCCGCAGCUAAAGUAUCUCUGGCAACUGUUUAUCAAAAACACAGCUCCCUGCGAACUCGCAAGAGGAUGUAUAGGGGGUGACACCUGACCAAUGCCAGAAGGUCAAACACGGGGGGUCUUAUUAUCUUCGGAUAAGAAGGCUGGACUGUGUAAGCCCUGGUGAAUGUCGGCCGUAACUAUAGACAUGACCGUUGUAGUUACGAAAAUAAAUCUUGCCAUAUGCUGGAAAACCCGGUCCGCCUUAGGCGGAAACAAAGUAGUAUGCAUUACGAACACAUGUUGAUGUGUCGUGACAAUAUGUAUAUGCGGAUAAUCAGCAGGAAAGUCUUCUGAUCUAACAAAACAUAAUGAAAAAUAUUCCAGUUGAUAUAGGAAACUAUAUUGCGGGGUUCACAGACGGAGAAGGAAGCUUCAACGUCUCGAUCAAAAAGAGGUUAGAUUACAAAGAAAGUUGGAAACUGACCGCGUCGUUCAACAUAUCUCAAAAAGAUAGAGUUAUCCUUGCAUGGGUAAAGCAUAUUUUGGGGUGUGGAACAUUGCGGGAAAGAAAAGAUGGCGUUGUGUAUUACGAAGUAACAAACAUUACUUCACUCCACGAAGUCAUUAUUCCAUUCUUCAAAAUGUAUGGUUUCCGCUCGGCAUACAAAAAGAAUAAUUUCAGAAUUUUUUCUGAAAUAGUCAAAAUGAUGUAUGCAGGCGAGCAUCAUACUCAAGAAGGAUUUCGGAAAGUUCUAGAAUUAAGAGAAACACUUAAUCCUGGAAUUGGAAGAAAACGAAAAUACACAUUAUUAGAUGUCGUAACUUCAGAAGAAUCCCCAGAGACUAUACGCAAGACGGUUUCAAAUCAAACAUUGGAGUCGACGAUUUGAAAACGAUGAUAUAGUCCGAUCUCAUUGGCAACAAUGAGUUAACACGUAAGUAAUAGAUUGGUAAAUAGUUGAAGAAAGAUCAUUACACCAAGAAAAGCUACUAGAAAUGAACGGUCCUAAGGUAGCGAAAUUCCUUGUCUGGUAAUUGAAUUGCCAGCUUCGAGAGUGAUCUCGAUGAAAAAUUCGGCUUAUAACGGUGGAGCCCAAUCUCGAAAGAGAGGGUAAUACCGUGGGAAGUCGUUCAGCACUAAUUUUUGGAUUAAAUAAGAACAAGCACCCCCUUUUGAGGGUGCUUGGGAAUUCGAAGUGAGGAAUCUCAAGUCAGGAGAACCGUGGCGAUUACCACGAGACUCAUGACCAAUAGAGUCAACACUAAAAUGAUGUACAGUCUUGGCUCACCCUUGUAUUUGGGGUUAGUCAAGAUUUCUCUGAGUCCUGUAAACAUAAGCACCUCCAUAGGUAUAGUAUCAUAUGGUUGUUUAUAUGUCAAGUAUAAUCUUGACUCCAAAAAUUAGUGCUGAAUUGACCCCGUAACGACUGAGCUUAAAUGCAAGACUUGCCAACCAGUUUUGGCAGGUAACACGCCGACUCUCGAUUCAUAAAAUCGAGAUGAAGAUAUAGUCUAAUGCCCGCAGGAAUGCGGGGAAGGAGGUUCUACUUCGCGCAAGUGGAACAUCAAACUCAAAUGAAGUUCAGACGCGCACGAAUGGUGUAAUGACUGGAGAACUGUCUCGGGGACCUGCUCGGUGAAAAUACAAUACCGGUGAAGAUGCCGGUUACCU
rnacentral:rRNA from 1 species